rnacentral:rRNA from 1 species
UACGUAGGUGACAAGCGUUGUCCGGAUUUACUGGGCGUAAAGAGCGCGCAGGCGGUCGUUCAAGUCGAGUGUGAAAGCCCCCGGCUCAACUGGGGAGGGUCAUUCGAUACUGAUCGACUCGAAGGCAGGAGAGGGUAGUGGAAUUCCCGGUGUAGUGGUGAAAUGCGUAGAGAUCGGGAGGAACACCUGUGGCGAAGGCGGCCCCCUGGGCCGGCCCUGACACUGAGACGCGAAGGCGUGGGGAGCGAACGGG